rnacentral:rRNA from 1 species
CAAUAGCGUAUAUUAAAGUUGUUGCAGUUAAAAAGCUCGUAGUUGGAUUUCUGGUUGGAGCGACCGGUCGGGCGUUGAUUCGUCUGCACUGGAGUCGGUUUUGGCCAUCCUCUAGGAAAGUGCGUCUGGCAUUAAGUUAUCGGGCGUAUGAUCCUGGUCUUUUACUGUGAAAAAAUUAGAGUGUUUAAAGCAGGCCUUCGCCUUGAAUACAUUAGCAUGGAAUAAUAAGAUAGGACUUUGGUCUAUUUUGUUGGUUUGCAGACCGAAGUAAUGAUUAAUAGGGAUAGUUGGGGGUAUUUAUAUUCCGAUGUCAGAGGUGAAAUUCUUAGAUUUUCGGAAGAUAAACUUAUGCGAAAGCAUUUACCAAGGAUGUUUNCAUUAA